CCUGAGAGAGAGAGAGAAAGAACACCUCCAGAGAGCAGCCUGCUGAUAGAACCUACUUCUUACAAUAUGAUCAUGGGGUUAAGAGGCAUCGUCCCCACUCAUGGUGAGCCUCCUUGACACUGCUGCAGAGAUACUCAACUAGAUAAUACCUUUGUCUUCUCCAAUGGUGAAUAUAAUAAAAUUACACUGAAAGGGCAGAAAUACUGUAGUAGCAACUUUCCUAGGAUAUCAGAACUGUGACAAAACCCUAUCCGCCUCCGUUCUUCAGCAUCAGCAAAGUGACAGUAGUUAAAAUAAUAUGCUCUCUCAGAUGACUGUAUUUUCAAGAAAUAAAGCAAGCAUCAGAAGACUCUUUCAGUGUACUUAGAGAAGCACAAGUUAAGGGAUGGUGCUGAUGAAUUGAGACCAAGGAGGAGGCUACAGCAUCACUCACAUGUUUAUCUUGCUGCUAAACUCCUGCCUUAGACAUCUGGCCAGUCCACUUUGCAGGGAUGCCCCUGUAGGCCCAGCUCCCACAGAACUGUGACUCUCUUCCACUCCCUUUCUGCAAAGCUUCAUUUUUACUAGUAUCCAUCCUGGCAGUCUCUGGUACAGACCCCUGGCACAAACCAGAAUGCAGACCUUAUUUUUAUUUCUCAGAGGUGAACCACCACCUCCCAUAAACUCCCCUAUUAUUCUCUCUACAAAGUUCGUUCAUGUGUUACCUGACUGUUGUAGCAGCUAAACUUUAAACUUACAAUAUUAUAAUAUUACCAAUAUGCAAGCUGGGUAAAUGGGAUAAGGAACACAUUUUGAAACAAAUUAUCACAAAGAGAGGGAAAAACUAUUUUCUUACCUUUUUUUAUUAUUUAUUUUUUUAGGCCCUUGAAACAAACUCACAAUUCUUCAGAUCAAAAGCAGAUGUUUUAAAACCAGGGUUGAAGUUAACUUUAUCAACCAUGUGUCACUAUUUGUCUGUGCAAAGCUAUGACUAAGUUUACAAGUUUAGGAAGGCCUUAAGUGACUUGCUUUAUACUGCCAUUCAGUAUUGCCCUACACACAAACAAUCCUUUAGUGUAAUAAAAUAUGUGUCUUUGCUGCUUUGCUAGAAGUUAUUGAGAAGUCUUCUGAUAUCCAGCUAUGAAAAGCACCAUGACUGGUUCUGCCCAGAAGCUGCAUGAAUACAUGUGGAGCAGAAAAGUUGCUCUUUAUAGCCAGCUGUAAAAUUCUUUCAAACCCUGUGAAUGUUAAGCCUGAGAAGGCUUUUUUUCCCAGAGAUAUAAAUUAGCUUCAGCAUACCAAACUUCAACUGUAUGUAUUAGUCAAGAUUUCACUCCAAGCUUACACUUUACUCAUGAAACUCAAAGUCAGCCAGCCUAUUUCAAGAAAAAAACCCAGUGUUUGGUUCCAGUAAGCUACCAUGGAACAUGCUCCAGAUUUGACAAAUGUAAUUAGUUGCUUUUGUGUGUUUAGUACACAAUGCAAAUGCUGUAAAAUGUUUUUCACAUGAUGCAACAUUGCCAGCAGAUAAUCAUUGGAGCAUUAAACCAAAAGAAUUUGUGUGUACCCUACAAGGUGCAGGAGGAUAAGAAAAUGUAAACAAAAACUAACAGCUGAAUUUUUCAGAUGAUACCAUUCCUUUUCUUUCGUUGAACCGAUUCAUUUUUUAAAUGUCACUUUUUGUCAGUUUCUCUAGAAAUUGAUUAGAAACCUCUAAGCCAAUGUGAAAAUGCUUUUGUUUCUGUUCUGGUUUUGACUGUGUGAAUUUUUUUAGAACAUUUUCAGUUUAAUUAUGCAGCACUAAAAAUUGCAAUUAAACUGAAUUUGCAAUUGAAACUGCUCAUUUUAGUUAACUGUCAAAUUUACUACAGCAUUGUGAAAUAGGGGCCUUUAUUAUUAUGAGGUGUUUUGGAAAGAAUUACUUUUUAAACAGGACAAAAAUGUCAUGUCUCUCAGUCUCAUCACAAUGAACCAAAAA
rnacentral:lncRNA from 1 species